GAAGGUCACGGCGAGACGAGCCGUUUAUCAUUACGAUAGGUGUCAAGUGGAAGUGCAGUGAUGUAUGCAGCUGAGGCAUCCUAACAGACCGGUAGACUUGAACCUUGUUCCUACAUGACCCGAUCAAUUCGAUCGGGCACUCGCCAUCUAUUUUCAUUGUUCUACUCUUUAUCUUUAACAACACGAAAAACCCAUUGUUCAACUCUUUGACAACAUGAAAAACCAAAAGCUCUGCCCUCCCUCUCUAUCUAUCCAAGGGAUGGAAGGGCAG
rnacentral:rRNA from 1 species